CGGGCCGUGUACUCCCAGACGGCGUCGCCGUCGAUCAGACUCUGGUCGCCGAAGUACGCGCCGUCGGCGAGGACCCCGAGCUCCGUCUCGUCCCCGUAGAGGCCGGAUCCGACCUUCUCGAUCUUGCCGUGCGCCAGCAGAAAGACCCGGUCCGCCGCGUCUCCCGAGGCGGCGAGCACCUCCCCCGCGGCCACGUCCCGCUGCUCGCACCUGCGGGCGAGCUCGGCGAGGACCUCCUCGUCCCCGAAGUUGCGCAGAGCGGGCAGCUCCCCCAGCUCCGCGGGGAUCACGGCCACCCGGUCCCCGGUCUGGACGAAGGUCACCCGGCCGUCACCGACCGAAUAGCUGAGCCGACGGUUCACCCGGUACGUACCGCCCUGUACCUGCACCCACGGCAGCAUCUUCAGCAGCCACCGUGAGGUGAUCUCCUGCAUCUGCGGCGCGGAUUUGGUGGUCGUCGCGAGGUUCCGCGCAGCCGCCGUCCCCAGACUCUGCUGCGGCGGCGC
rfam:Streptomyces sp. HCCB10043 Contig_83, whole genome shotgun sequence.